GACGUAUGAAACAGGCCUUACAUGUACUCAGUAACGUCACGCGCAUGCUUUUACUGGCGCCUUGAAUUUUUAGGCCCGCGAAGGAGCAACAGGUCAACACUUUUCCAUCAACCAAACUGACGUGACGUCAUUUUCGCAAGAUGGAAGUGUUAAAUGGCUAUGUAACCAACCCUACCCCUACUCUAACCCCAAAACCCUGACUCUAACCCUAACCAAAAUGAUAAAAUAAAUCCAAAAAGAGUAAACUUUAGAAAUUGAUCAAAUGACGUAACGCCAGUUUGAUGUAUGGAAACGAGUGAAAACAGGAGUAAGAAGAAUACAAAAUUUUGAUGCUAAAGUUGCGGAAAAACUGUUUAAAAUGCUGGCAUGGAAAUAAAAAAUUUCGGCGAUUCACAUACUAAUUUGCUAAUUUUUUCAGCAUCUGGGCCGCGGGAUUUGUCAUGAAAUAUCUUAAAUCAUUCGUAGAUUUUUGUGGUGUUCGUUGCUCAGUUCUAAUUUUCGAAAUUAUUGUAUUUUUUAUCUUUUGCCGAAUCAGUAUAUAAAUGGCAGUUUUUAUCAAAAGCUUGAAGAUGCUUUCUAAAUCACAUAUGUUCAGUUUUUU